rnacentral:piRNA from 1 species
UNCCAGGACAGCCUUAAAAGAAGGGGA